rnacentral:rRNA from 1 species
CUUUUCUUGAAUUUAUAUGAAGUAUAACCUGCCCAAUGAAUAAUUUUUAAUGGCCGCGGUAUUUUGACCGUGCAAAGGUAGCAUAAUCAUUAGUCUUUUAAUUGUAGGCUGGAAUGAAUGGUUGGACGAGAUAAAAACUGUCUUUGGAUUAAUUUAUUUGAAUUUAAUUUUUAAGUUAAAAAGCUUAAAUUUUUUAUUGGGACGAGAAGACCCUAUAGAGUUUAAUAUUAUAUAUAAUAAUAGUUGUGUAUAAUUAUUUUUAAUUAUAUAUUUUAUUUGGUUGGGGUGAUUAUAGGAUAAAAAUAACUUUUUAUUACAUUUAUUAUAAAUUUAUAUUUUAAUGAUCCAUUAUUAUUGAUUAAAAGACUAAAUUACC